rnacentral:rRNA from 1 species
GGUGCCUACGGGACGCAGCAGUGGGGAAUAUUGCACAAUGGGGGAAACCCUGAUGCAGCGACGCCGCGUGAGUGAAGAGGUAAUUCGUUACGUAAAGCUCUAUCAGCAGGGAAGAAAUACUGACCUUACGGUCAGCAGACGGUACCUGAGUAAGAAGCUCCGGCUAACUACGUGCCAGCAGCCGCGGUAAUACGUAGGGGGCAAGCGUUAUCCGGAUUUACUGGGUGUAAAGGGAGCGUAGACGGCAGUGCAAGUCUGGAGUGAAAGGCGGGGGCUCAACCCCCGGACUGCUCUGGAAACUGUAC